CUUUAGAUGACAAUGAUGAUUUUCCACGAAUUUUUUUCAACUUUACUCCUUUGGAAAAUGUACAAACUUUGAAUAAAAAUCAAAAAAUUGAUACUUUGGGGAUUUUGGUUAAAAAUAAUGGAUUGGACAAAAACUACAAAGGUACCAUAAUGCGCGAUCUUUCAUUAACUGAUACUACAAAAACUAUGGUUACCGUUACUUUAUGGACCGAAAAUGCGAAAAAUUUUGCUAUUCCAAAUUUUUCUGUAAUUGUUAUUCGAAAAGGAAGUAUUACUGAGCAUGAAAGACGCAAAAAAAUUAAUUGUAUCAAUGGAACAUUAUUAUGGGGUGACUCUAAUUUACCAGAAGCAAUUAAACUAAAAGAGGAAUUUCUGAAAAUGAUUAAGAAG